AUUGAACGCUGGCGGCUGGCCUAACACAUGCAAGUCGAACGGUAACAGGAAGAAGCUUGCUUCUUUGCUGACGAGUGGCGGACGGGUGAGUAAUGUCUGGGAAACUGCCUGAUGGAGGGGGAUAACUACUGGAAACGGUAGCUAAUACCGCAUAACGUCGCAAGACCAAAGAGGGGGACCUUCGGGCCUCUUGCCAUCGGAUGUGCCCAGAUGGGAUUAGCUAGUAGGUGGGGUAACGGCUCACCUAGGCGACGAUCCCUAGCUGGUCUGAGAGGAUGACCAGCCACACUGGAACUGAGACACGGUCCAGACUCCUACGGGAGGCAGCAGUGGGGAAUAUUGCACAAUGGGCGCAAGCCUGAUGCAGCCAUGCCGCGUGUAUGAAGAAGGCCUUCGGGUUGUAAAGUACUUUCAGCGGGGAGGAAGGGAGUAAAGUUAAUACCUUUGCUCAUUGACGUUACCCGCAGAAGAAGCACCGGCUAACUCCGUG
rnacentral:rRNA from 1 species